ensembl:lncRNA
UGUCAUCCUGGAACCCCCAGUAAAAGGGUGCACUAUGGGGCUCUGGAGCCUAUUGCUGGGUCCUCCAGUCCCACAGGCUGACCUGCAGAAUUCGUGAGUCCAAGCACACCUCAACCAAGUUCUGGCAAUUCUGUGGGUCCUCUCCCAACCUAACAUAUAUCUUCCCUCUACUGAAAGGUCAGAUGGAGCACACCCUGUGCAAUCAUGCCAGCUGACCCUCACACAGAUGAUUGAACCACUUGGAAGCUUUUUGCCACAUUCCUGGUGAGAUUCCAAAUACCACUGGGACCAAAGGCCUCAACAUUUCCUCCUCCAUGCCAGUCAGCUUGACUCAAGCCUUAUCAAGAACCCACAAUUCCUGAGCACCACUCCCAGUGCCAAGGAGCAGAGCCGCCCGCAGCACUGAGGAGGAGCCCUUCUGGGUCACCAUACCACCACCCCCAGUGUUGAGGAGCAGAGCUGCUUCCAGCCCUGAGGAGGAGAUGUUCAGGCCACCAUACCACCACCCCCAGUGCUGAGGAGGUGAGCCACCUGGGUGUCAGCAUCACAAAAUUGCCCUCCCCGCUGAAAUGAGAAGACAUGUAAACAAAUGUCAAAACCAGACUUCCAGAUCAACUAAAGCAACCCCAAAGGGAAAUGAGAUGGAACAAUCUGAUACUCAACCACCUGGACUCCCCGAACUGGCAAUGAAAGAGGACCUGGAAAAAAUGAAAACAGAAAUAAUUUCUCUGAUAACAGCAGAGACUGAGCCCAUAGUGCAAGACAUGAUUAAUAAAUCUAGCAUGGACACAGAUAAAAAAAAUGAGGAUCUGAGAAACAUCAUGGCAUCCCAACAUAGGAAACAAAUGGAAUCCAUAAAACAGAUGCAAACAGAUUUCCAGGAGGUUAAAAACUCCACUGAAGUCUAUGCAGCAAAAUGAGCCAAUGUGAGGACAGAAUUUCAGAUACAGAAGAUAAGAUUGCAAUUACUGACCACGAAGAGAAAAAUUGCUUUAAAAAUGCAAGGAAUCAUGAGAAAGCAAUCCAGCAGCUACUAGACGAUGCAAAGAAGAAUAACGUAAGACUUAUUGGAGUCAAUGAAGAAACAGGAGAGAGUGCAGAUGACAUAAAAUAACAGUUCACAGAAGUAAUGGCAGAAAACUUCCCAAGCAGGGAAACAGAACUUGACAUACAGAUAAGUGAGGCAUAUAGGACUCCAACUAAACUUGAUCAAAAAAAAAUCUACACAUAAACAUAUAAUAGCUAAAUUUCCAGAAAGCCAACAGAAGAACAAAAUUCUACAGAGAAAAGAAGCAAAUCACAUACAAAGGAAAGACCAUCAGAAUCACAGCAGACUUCUCAGUGCACACCCUCAAGGCAAGAAGACCUUGGAGUGAUGCAUUUUGAGCCCUAAAGGAAAACAGCCUCCAACCCAGAUUGAUGUACCCUGUAA